UACGUAGGCAGCAAGCGUUGUUCGGAAUUACUGGGCGUAAAGAGUGUGUAGGCGGUGCUCUAAGUUCGGUGUGAAAUCUCCUGGCUCAACUGGGAGAGUGCGCCGGAAACUGGGGUGCUGGAGCGCGGGAGAGGAAAGCGGAAUUCCUGGUGUAGCGGUGAAAUGCGUAGAUAUCAGGAGGAACACCGGCGGUGUAGACGG
rnacentral:rRNA from 1 species